rnacentral:rRNA from 1 species
CCUACGGGAGGCAGCAGUGAGGAAUAUUGGUCAAUGGGCGGAAGCCUGAACCAGCCAAGUAGCGUGCAGGAUGACGGCCCUACGGGUUGUAAACUGCUUUUAUCCGGGAAUAACGCGCCUUACGUGUAGGGCUUUGCAUGUACCUUAUGAAUAAGGACCGGCUAAUUCCGUGCCAGCAGCCGCGGUAAUCCGGAGGGUCCGGGCGUUAUCCGGAUUUAUUGGGUUUAAAGGGAGCGUAGGCCGCAGGUCAAGCGUGCUGUGAAAUGUCCGGGCUCAACCCGGGCCUUGCAGCGCGAACUGGCGGGCUUGAGUGCGCGGAAAGCAGGCGGAAUUCGCGGUGUAGCGGUGAAAUGCUUAGAUAUGACGAAGAACCCCGAUUGCGAAGGCAGCUUGCUGCAGCGGAACUGACGCUGAGGCGCGAAAGCGCGGGUAUCGAACAGGAGUAGAUACCCGUGUAGUC